rnacentral:tRNA from 1 species
CCCUGAUAGCUCAGUUGGUAAAGAAUCUGCCUGCAAUGCAGGAGACCCUGGUUUGAUUCCUGGGUCAGGGA